rnacentral:lncRNA from 1 species
GAGUAUUUGCAAUUGAAAAGAAUCCAGUAUACUGUAUUACGAUAUGACUAGAAACCAUGAUUAAGUUUGGAAAGGAAGAAUUAAAGAGACCAAGGUUAGCUUUUGAAAGUUAAAAGUGAAAAAGGCCUUAUUGGUGGCCUUACUAGCCUUUAUGAUAGUAAAUGAACUUUUUACCAUCCCUUAUCCUAAAAUGUGGCUUUAGAUCUAGAAUCUGAGUUAAAUGGCAGUUCAAGUAAGAGCUAUUCAGUUGUGAGUGGCUUUAGAUCUGGGAAAGGGAUAAGUUUGACGAAUUUAUCAUGUGGUUAGUAUGCUACCAUUUGCAAAUAACUAGAGGUGAGUUUUAGAUGGCAUUGUGGUCUUUAAGUUUUAUUGGAGGAUUAUUGGGGCAAAUGUUUGAAAGGAUAAAGAAAUCUAGUUGUGAGGAUAGUAGAAAAAGCCAAAGUAUGAAAUGUUUGAGAUCAUUUAGAAUACUUAAGAGCCAUUAAUAUACUCAAGUUAUGAUCAUACUAAUUGAUUGGACAUUAGACGUGGUGGACCUUCAAUCUACCCAAGAACUUGAUUAGCGUUACUAAUGGGGCAAGUGGAUUAGUAGCUGUACCUGAUCAAUUGUCGCCUUGACUAUGUUAGGGUGAGUAAGUCGUAACUUUGCCAUGUUUGCAUGUUAGAUGAACUUAAAAAGAACUUGUUUGAUUGUUUAUUUAAGUGUACU